rnacentral:rRNA from 1 species
AUGAACGCUAGCGGCAGGCUUAAUACAUGCAAGUCGAGCGGUCCCUUCGGGGGCAGCGGCGGACGGGUGAGUAACGCGUGGGAACGUGCCCUUUGGUACGGAACAACUGAGGGAAACUUCAGCUAAUACCGUAUGUGCCCUUUGGGGGAAAGAUUUAUCGCCAUUGGAGCGGCCCGCGUUAGAUUAGCUAGUUGGUAGGGUAAAGACCUACCAAGGCGACGAUCUAUAGCUGGUCUGAGAGGAUGAUCAGCCACACUGGGACCGAGACACGGCCCAGACUCCUACGGGAGGCAGCAGUAGGGAAUCUUGCGCAAUGGGCGAAAGCCUGACGCAGCCAUGCCGCGUGAAUGAUGAAGGUCUUAGGAUUGUAAAAUUCUUUCACCGGGGACGAUAAUGACGGUACCCGGAGAAGAAGCCCCGGCUAACUUCGUGCCAGCCGCCGCGGUAAAAC